GGGGGCGAUUGGAAUCGAUCUAGCUCUUUGAGUCGAUAGCUGCAUGCGGAGGUUGCUGGGAGGCCUCCUUAAACACCUGGCAAAACCAUAAGUGCCAACACCAUCCGUGUGCCCUUAAUGGGCCCCAUGGCGUUGCCGUUAGCCGCUUAAUCACGGCUACCGUCCGCUCGACCCUGUCUGCGGGUUGAGGCCGGGCGUCGAAAGCAGGCUGGCUGGGUGAGCCCGCCUUGGGUUUAUCCGGCGAGAAUCUCACAAGGCUUGCCUUUUGAAAUCGCGCUUGUUCGAGUUCAAAAGGGACUUUAAAAGACAAGCUAAGCAUGUAGUGGCUGCGACCCCAAAAACUAGAGACGCGAGUUCGAAUCUCGCCGCCUCCACCA
rnacentral:tmRNA from 1 species